rnacentral:rRNA from 1 species
AUUGGACGCUGGCGGCAUGCUUUACACAUGCAAGUCGAACGGUAACAGGGUGCUUGCACCGCUGACGAGUGGCGAACGGGUGAGUAAUGCGUCGGAACGUGCCGAGUAGUGGGGGAUAACGCAGCGAAAGUUGUGCUAAUACCGCAUACGUACUGAGGUAGAAAGUGGGGGACCUUCGGGCCUCACGCUAUUCGAGCGGCCGACGUCUGAUUAGCUAGUAGGUGAGGUAAAGGCUCACCUAGGCGACGAUCAGUAGCGGGUCUGAGAGGAUGGUCCGCCACACUGGGACGGAGACACGGCCCAGACUCCUACGGGAGGCAGCAGUGGGGAAUUUUGGACAAUGGGCGAAAGCCUGAUCCAGCCAUGCCGCGUGUCUGAAGAAGGCCUUCGGGUUGUAAAGGACUUUUGUCAGGGAGGAAAUCCCUAGUGCUAAUAACACUGGGGGAUGACAGUACCUGAAGAAUAAGCACCGGCUAACUACGUGCCAGCCGCCGCCGUAA